rnacentral:rRNA from 1 species
UAGGGAAUCUUCGGCAAUGGGGGCAACCCUGACCGAGCAACGCCGCGUGAGUGAAGAAGGUUUUCGGAUCGUAAAGCGCUGUUGUAAGAGAAGAACGUGUGUGAGAGUGGAAAGUUCACACAGUGACGGUAACUUACCAGAAAGGGACGGCUAACUACGUGCCAGCAGCCGCGGUAAUACGUAGGUCCCGAGCGUUGUCCGGAUUUAUUGGGCGUAAAGCGAGCGCAGGCGGUUUAAUAAGUCUGAAGUUAAAGGCAGUGGCUUAACCAUUGUUCGCUUUGGAAACUGUUAGACUUGAGUGCAGAAGGGGAGAGUGGAAUUCCUUGUGUAGCGGUGAAAUGCGUAGAUAUAUGGAGGAACACCGGUGGCGAAAGCGGCUCUCUGGUCUGUAACUGACGCUGAGGCUCGAAAGCGUGGGGAGCAAACAGG